UUCUUCCCCAAAACAAGCUUGCAGUGUUUCUCACAAAAACGGAGAAAUCAAAGCAGAGAAUGAGCCAGCUCCAACAAUCUGUACGAUUCUCGGAGCCAGAUCAAAGCAGAGAAUGAGCCAGCUCCAACAAUCUGUAUGGUUGUCAACCAAAAAAAUAGUUAUGUGUGAUAAAACCCUAAUAUAUUUUCACCUGAUAUGUUAUGCGUAAUACGUGUACACAUGGUCGCUACAGAAGCAUGGAUGUUAGUUUCCAUGGAUGUUACUUUUAGAUUCAAUUUUAACAUUUUUCUUUACUUUGAACUAUAAAGACAUCAUAU
rnacentral:lncRNA from 1 species